AAAAUGUCCCAAAGUGUGCUCACUAAAAUUGGAACGAUACAGAGAAGCCUAGCAUGGGCCCUGAGCAAGGAUGACACGCAAAUUCAUGAAACGUUCUAUAUUUUU